UGGGGAAUUUUGGACAAUGGGCGAAAGCCUGAUCCAGCAAUGCCGCGUGUGUGAAGAAGGUCUUCGGGUUGUAAAGCACUUUUGUCCGGAAAGAAAUCCUUGGCUCUAAUACAGUCGGGGGAUGACGGUACCGGAAGAAUAAGCACCGGCUAACUACGUGCCAGCAGCCGCGGUAAUACGUAGGGUGCAAGCGUUAAUCGGAAUUACUGGGCGUAAAGCGUGCGCAGGCGGUUUGCUAAGACCGAUGUGAAAUCCCCGGGCUCAACCUGGGAACUGCAUUGGUGACUGGCAGGCUAGAGUAUGGCAGAGGGGGGUAGAAUUCCACGUGUAGCAGUGAAAUGCGUAGAGAUGUGGAGGAAUACCGAUGGCGAAGGCAGCCCCCUGGGCCAAUACUGACGCUCAUGCACGAAAGCGUGGGGAGCAAACAGGAUUAGAUACCCUGGUAGUCCACGCCCUAAACGAUGUCAACUAGUUGUUGGGGAUUCAUUUCCUUAGUAACGUAGCUAACGCGUGAAGUUGACCGCCUGGGGAGUACGGUCGCAAGAUUAAAACUCAAAAGGAAUUGACGGGGUCAUAGCUGUUUCCUG
rnacentral:rRNA from 1 species